GCAUGGUUGGUUUAGUGGCAUAAUUACCGCCUGCCAAAUCUAAGCACGCGGUAGACCCGGGUUCGAUUCCCGGACCAUGCA